UGGGGAAUAUUGGACAAUGGGCGCAAGCCUGAUCCAGCCAUGCCGCGUGUGUGAAGAAGGUCUUCGGAUUGUAAAGCACUUUAAGUUGGGAGGAAGGGCAUUAACCUAAUACGUUAGUGUUUUGACGUUACCGACAGAAUAAGCACCGGCUAACUCUGUGCCAGCAGCCGCGGUAAUACAGAGGGUGCAAGCGUUAAUCGGAAUUACUGGGCGUAAAGCGCGCGUAGGUGGUUUGUUAAGUUGGAUGUGAAAUCCCCGGGCUCAACCUGGGAACUGCAUUCAAAACUGACUGACUAGAGUAUGGUAGAGGGUGGUGGAAUUUCCUGUGUAGCGGUGAAAUGCGUAGAUAUAGGAAGGAACACCAGUGGCGAAGGCGACCACCUGGACUAAUACUGACACUGAGGUGCGAAAGCGUGGGGAGCAAACA
rnacentral:rRNA from 1 species